rnacentral:tRNA from 1 species
UUAAUUGAAGCCAAAGUUUGAGGCCUUUCAUUGUUAAUGAAAUAAUUGAUAUUUAUAUCCAAUUAAA